UGUGAUUAUAAACCAUGGGACCUUUAGCGAGAAUUUUCAUUCUCACUCUUGUUUCCUUUCCAAAUUAUGGCAGAGGUUGCAGAUGUGCAGAAAGCUUUCAACUGUCCAACUAACUGAAAGACUUGACUAUUCUAAUUUGCCUGGCCUGAAUUCCAACAUGAAAAAUGGAAGGGAUGGUAUUAUUGUGAGAAAGUUGAUGGAGGAAUCAAUUUUCAUGUGUGUAGUCUGAAGGAAGGAACACUUAACUGGGAAAUGUUGCAAUUCAAGCCAAAAUUUCCACGUCAAGUAUUGCUUUGCAGAGUUGGGGAAUUUUAUGAAGCUUGGGGAAUAAAUGUAUGUAUUCUUGUUGAAUAUGAGGGUUUAAAUCCUUUUGGCGGUCUGCAAUCAGAUAGUAUCCCGAGAGCUGGUUGUCCUGUUGUGGUAUUUUUAUUUUUGUCGGCAAACUUUUAUAUUGAUGCUGCCAUUUGUUUUGGUUAUUUUCUUUUCUCAUCAAAUUUAAUUUUUAUAUUGAUAAUUGUGAAUGAACUUCUUAUAUGUAUAAUAAUCACUUUCUUCCUUUCUUUGGUCAAAGAAUCUUCGACAAACUUUAGAUGAUCGGACACAAAGCGGUUAUUCAGUGUGCCUGCCAUCUUACCAGUCUAUGAGUACAUGCUGCUAAUAAAUUUUGGUCUCAACACUGCAUUGUGGAGGAGGCAGGCUCAGGGCCCAACUCAAGCUCGAUCCAGGAAACGUCUCUUUAUAUCUGGAUUAAAAGAAGGAAGGGGCAUAUGGACAGAGGUUAAGGCAUCAUCCAUAACAGACAGAAAUCCAACUUGAAAUUGAAAAUAAGCAAUAUGGUUAUUGGACAAAUUCAGCUCUGCCCCUUGUUCUCCAGGCCUACUGUGAUGUUGAUUAGGCAUUUAACCUGAGAUGUUGGAAUCUUCACAUAUGUGUCCUGCGUAUUUCUUGGUCCUAACCUAGUCUCUUGGUGGUCUAAGAAACAAACCUUGGUGGCCCAAUGGAGCACGGAGGUAAAGCAUUUCUGUUUGACACGCAACAGAAAAAGUAUUAUGGCUGCAGUCUCUUUUCACAGAACUUGGGGUUGAAUUUACUACACCCACUAUCCUAUGUGCCAAUCUCAGUACUGUGUCACCAGCUCGUAAUCCCUUUCUUCAUGUUAGAACAAAGCAUGUGGGACUUGUCCUAUUAUUUGUAAGGAAGGUGAACAACCAAAGCUUUCAUCUCUAUUAAGUUUCUGCUCUACACAAAUGUACUCACAUUCUAAUUGAACCAAAGCUGUCACACCUCCAUUUUAGAGAACUUCAACAAAAACUCAGUUUUUUUUGUUUUUAUCAAUUCUCGGAUCAGCCCCUCUUGAGUUUGAGGGGGAGUAUUGGAGUGAUGUCACAUUACUACUGUUACUCUGUCAGUAUUUUACAACUUUAACCUAGGGUGUUUAGUUGUGACUUCUCUAUAAUUUCUACUGUUAGGUGCAAUUACUUUAGAUUUGUCUAAGUUAUUGCUGAGUUGUAACUGAGCUUA